GACAGAGGGUACAAACGUUGUUCGGAAUUACUGGGCGUAAAGCGCGUGUAGGCGGCUCUGUAAGUCGGGCGUGAAAUCCCACGGCUCAACCGUGGAAGUGCACCCGAAACUGCGUAGCUAGAGUCCUGGAGAGGAAGGUGGAAUGCUUGGUGUAGAGGUGAAAUUCGUAGAUAUCAAGCGGAACACCGGUGGCGAAGGCGGCCUUCUGGACAGUGACUGACGCUGAGACGCGAAAGCGUGGGGAGCAAACAGG
rnacentral:rRNA from 1 species